rnacentral:tRNA from 1 species
GCCUGGGUGGCUCAGUCGGUUGAGCAUCUGACUUCGACUCAGGUCAUGAUCCCGUGGUUCAUGAGUUCAAGCCUCAUGUCGGGCU